UAAAACAGUGAAAGAAGGAACUAUGCAUGUCAUCGUGAGAACUGCAAAGAUUAUUGUGUUGUGUGUGUUUGGGAUACUUAUUUUUCUUAUAUAAUGUUUGAAAAACAGACCAGCAAAACAGCAAAAAUGGAUUACCUAUCUGAAAAAUCCCUUCAUCCAUAUGUCCAAUUAACUUAAUAUACUGAUUUAAAUGUUUUACUUGUGUUUCAAAUUAUGGUGGUUUUACCAAUGACAUAAUGGUCAGCAACAUUAUGUUGCAAAAAAUGCUGCCAUGUGGUAAUUAAAAUAUUCUGUAAUUUAUCCCUCAAAA